rnacentral:lncRNA from 1 species
CUAAAUGAAAGCAUAGAUAGAAUUGCUUGCUGCUUACUUAAAUUAAUGUAGUGAAGUGCAGUUUAUUUUUCUUCCUGGGAAAACCUGCUUGAUUAUUUUUGGUUUUGUAAUAUUUUUUUUGUUAGAUUUUGUUCGUUUUUUAAUUUGUAGUUGAGGUUGUAAAUGUCCUUUAAUUACAUAAGAGGAAAGAAAACUGCUCCUAGUGUUUUUGCAGUUUUAGUUGCCAUGCAGUUGCCAAUUCAAUGAUGCAGUUUUUCUGGAGUGAUUAAAAUAGACAGUGAGUACAGUGGUACAGUGAGUUUCAGAGAUUCACAUGCUGAAGAGAAGGUCCACACUCUUCCUGUAAUAUAACCCUGUGGCAGUGCAAUUGUAGUUUUUUAUUCUCUCACAGGCUUCCAUUUCUCAGUUUUUGUUCUUGGGAAAUUUUAUUGGUGAAAACACUGCUAAGAAAUUGGAAGCUAUCUCUAUCCCGUAUCUCCAGCCUGAUUAAUCAUGAUGUGGUAACUCCUUUCUUUUUUCCCUUCCCCCCAAACUUGUCCUGGCCUUCUUCCAUCAACAACAUCCCUGAGGAGCCUGUGAGAUCCUAAGCUAUUCUGGAGAGCUUCAUGUUGUCCAGCUCAGCAGUGUGCCCAGUUGCUAAACCUCAGCAUUCCACUAAGAAACAUUAAGGCCAGCCUGGCUGACUGUCCUGGCAAGUGCUUUGUAUUGGUGAAGCUGAGAAGGGGAUGUUCUGGUGGAGGAAUGCCAAAAUUUCUGUUUUCCUGUAUGUUCUCACGUGCAGAUCAUGUAAAGUCACUUCUCCUUUUCAGCAGAAGGGGAACAUAAUUUUUAUUGUGCAAGAAAGAAUAAAGGUAAGGUUCCCUGAUAACCUUACCUUGGAAAAAAUUAAAAUGUCUUAGCCUCACAUUUUGAUGAUAAGUAGUUACACUCAGCUAAGUCUCUUGCAAAAAUGCAUUUGAUUCUCAGCUUUUUUAAUUCAUUUUUAGUGCUUUUAGUUGUCCUUAGGCUGCUGUAAUUUCCCCCUGUGCUAAGGCUGAUUAGGACAGUGGUCAUCACAGUGAGACUCUGCUUUCUUCCUUCCUGGACACACCCUGUCCUUCAUCAUUCUCAGCCUGCCCCUUCCAGAAUGGAGGGAGGUGGUAGGCAGAGACACAGCCACAACACUGUCCUCCCAACCCAGAGCUCUGACCCUUCUUCUGCCUCUUCCAAAAGCCUCUUUGUCCCUUUUGGCUCAUGAUCAGAAUAAAAUAAUAAUCUGUUGUUUCCCUCCUGAGCA